rnacentral:rRNA from 1 species
CACGGGGUUGCGAGCGUUGUCCGGAAUUACUAGGCGUAAAGGGCAGGCAGGCGGAUCCAUAAGUUUAUCGUUUAAGGCGUCGGCUUAACCGGCGUAGGGCGGUAGAUACUGUGGAUCUGGAAUGCGGUUGGGGAAGACAGAAUUCCUGGUGUAGCGAUGGAAUGCGCAGAGAUCAGGAGGAAUACCGAAGGCGAAGGCAGUCUUCCAAGCCGUUAUUGACGCUCAACUGCGAAGGUGUGGGUAUCAAACAGGAUUAGAUACCCUGGUAGUCCCU